AUACUUACUUAGUUGGGAAAAUAACCGUCAUCUCGAAGGUGGGUUUUCGCAAAGUAAAGUUAAGUUCUGCAAUUUCCCCAAAUGUGGGUAGCUCGUCUGCAUAAUUUGUAGUAGUGGGCGACUGCGUUCGCACUUUCCCCCU
rnacentral:snRNA from 8 species